CUGCUCUUCGUUGUGUUUUUUUCUAUUUGUUUAAUUUGGUUUGUGUUGUGUGGAUCCCAAAUGGAAGUUUUGGCCUGACUAAUGCUUGGUAUGCGUGUUCUUUUAUAAGUGGUGUUGUCAAAACCAUGUUAUCACUAAAAAGUUGACCGCUGGUCAUGCAGUUUGCGUGCUUACAUUUCGUCCACUGUAUCGCCUCCUAUCUGUGAACGGAAGAAGAACUUGUUAGCUUGCAUAUCAUCAUAUAAGCACAACAGCACACGCAGCUUCUAUCCGACCAAGGUCCAAAUUAACCGUGCGUUCUAACGUCAUCUUACACGGAGAAAAAACAGUGUUUUCAUGUUCAGCUGAUCGUUGGGCAGCACAUGUGUCGUCGGUGAGACCAAUCUCUUAGAGAGGUUUUCUACAUUCCCUGAAUAUAUACUGUGGAAGACGCGCUAUAACCUUGCUGCAGCUUUCUUCGAAUACUAUUACUAUCCAGGAGACUGCAUCAGGUGCACUUUAUGCGCAGCCAUGCAUCU